CCCACUUGGUAAUGAGAUUAAUCCCAAAGUGCUAAUCCUAUUCCCUUGGGAGAGGGUAGUUAUCUCACAUUAAUUAUUGGGGUAAUCCUAUUAUCUCCUCUCUCCCCCGUUUGAGAACCCAUCCCGAUCCCCCUCACGCGACUCUCCCCGAACCCGUCGCGAUCCCCUCUCACAGCAAAACUCUCAUCCACCAUGCGAGACUCUCCCCGACCUCUUCUCUCGACCUAGGGCAUCCAUGGCAUGAUCAUCUCCACCAUGCGAGACUCUCCCGACCUCUUCUCUCGACCUAGGGCAUCCAUGCCAUGAUCACCUCCACCGAUCGUAGCGGCAUAUCUCGCCAUUUCUGAGAUUUCCUUGCUCCAAAACAAGGUUCGUGAGUUGUGUUGAAGAUGGAUCUAACUUCGAAUGAAUUCUUGCCCAUGGUCGUGAGCAUUAUAAUGAUAUAUAUGGAGAUGGUUAGAUUAUUGCUACUUUUAAAAUUAGUGGUGGUACUCUUUUAUGUUAAACAACACAUGAGAUACCGUUGGGGAGGAAGACAAGCAUUACAAAGGCACUUCAUAAGACAUAUAAAUAUUAGGAGAAUAAUCUAUGAUAAUGAUCUGGCGUGUUAUGAGAACACUCAUAUGGAUCGAAGGGCAUUUCAUGCACUUUGUGACCUUCUAUCGACCACUGGGAGAUUGAGCGGGACUCGAAAUAUGGGAAUAGAGGAAAUGGUGUCUUUCUUUCUACAUAUCAUUGCACAUGAUGUGAAGAAUAGGGUAAUUAAAAGACAAUUUGUCAGAUCAGGGGAGACAAUAAGUAGACAUUUUAGUAAUGUCUUAAUUGCUAUCUUGCGAUGCCAUGGAAUUUUACUAAAAAGGCCUGAACCAAUAUCUGAGAACUCAACUGAUGAAAGAUGGAAGUGGUUUAAGAAUUGUCUUGGUGCACUAGAUGGAACUCAUAUCCUUGUUCAUGUCCCUGUAGUUGAUAGGGCUAGAUAUCGAAAUAGAAACAAAGAUCUUACGACGAAUGUGUUAGGAGUGUGCUCACAAGAUAUGCAGUUUAUCUAUAUCUUGCCUGGCUGGGAGGGUUCAGCCUCAGACUCUAGGGUGCUUAGAGAUGCCAUCUCAAGAUCAAAUGGGCUAAGGGUUCCCCAAGGUUAUUAUUAUCUUUGUGAUGCUGGUUAUCCAAAUGGCGAAGGGUUUCUCACGCCAUAUAGAGGUCAACGGUAUCAUCUGAGCGAGUGGAGGCAAAAUAGGGAGCCGCAAACUCCGCAAGAAUUCUACAAUUAUAAACAUUCGUCCGCACGAAAUGUCAUUGAAAGAUGUUUUGGAUUACUAAAAGGGCGAUGGGCAAUACUUAGAGGAAAGUCUUAUUAUCUUUGAAGGUUGCAUGUAGAAUCAUAUCAGCAUGUGCUCUUCUUCACAAUCAUAUUCGUAGGGAGAUGCCAAUUGAUCCAUAUGAGAAUGAGCUUGGUGAAAUUGACCCAACUAAUGAAAUACAAGGAGACAACAUAACAUAUAUUGAGACUUCCGAUACUUGGAAUACCCGGCGAGAUGAUUUAGCAUUACAAAUGUGGAAUGAAUGGAGGGGUUAAAUGUACUCUUUAGUAUUAGAUGUCAGAAUAAAGAUGUUAGAAUAAAUACAAGGAUGGAGGAAGUGUCAUCACAACAAACAUCAAAAGCAAAAAACAAAGGAAUUAAGCACCAAUGGACUAAGCACGAGGACGAAAAACUGAUUGAGUGCCUACUAGAUCUUAGUAAUUCGGGACAAUGGAGGGCUGACAAUGGAACAUUUAGAAAUGGUUAUCUACAACAAUUGGAAAGAUGGAUGCAUGAGAAGAUUCCAGAUUGUGAGCUCAAAGGAGUACCUCAUAUUGAAUCUCGAUUUAAGUUAUGGAAGAGACAAUACAAUGCAAUUUUUGAGAUGCUUGGACCGAGCGCAAGUGGUUUUGGCUGGAGCGAUAAGAACAAAUGUGUUGAAUGUGACAAGAAUGUUUAUGAUAACUGGGUUAAGAGUCAUCCGAAUGCCGUCGGGUUGAGAGGCAAGUCUUUUCCCUAUUUUGAGGAGUUAUCGAUAGUGUUUGGAAAGGAUCGAGCAACCGGUAUUGCAGCAGAAUCUCCUGCAGAUGCUGUCGCAAAUAUUGAAGGCGAAGAAACCAAUCAAAGAGCAUCUGCUCAAAAUCCUGAUGAGGAGAUGGCAAUUGCAGAUGAAAGCAGCGGUUUAGGGCCAACCAAUUCGAGUGCUGGUCAGUCAAGGAAAACAAGAAAAAGAAGAUCCUCAGCUACAGAUGACUCGAUCAAUGAAUCUUUUAAUGCAACGUUACGCUCCAUUGAGAGCAUGUUUGGAAAUGCUAGCGAAAGUAUCUCUAAAUUAGCUGGUUGUUUUCAAUUUAUGGCAACUGAUGCAAUUUGAAAGGAAAAGUUGUUUGAAGAGCUUUUGAAGGUUGAGGGACUCGUCGAUAAGGAUCGUAUGAUUGCUUACGAUAUCUUAAUAUCUGAUACAACCAAACUAACUGGAUUUUACGGAAUUCCUGCAGAGUUUAGAAAGGACUAUAUUGAGUAUGUUCUAACUGCACGUAAAUGAAGUUGUUUUAUAUUUUGCAAUGACUAGAGGAUAUUAAACUUUGGUAUUUUGUUUAUAUUUUCAAUGUCUAUGAAGUGUUGAACUUAUUUGUUAUUUACUUUCUAUGAUAGAUGUUGCUUUCUUGUUUGGACUUGUUAUGGAUAUUUGAUGUUGCUUAAAAAUUUUUAUUUUUUUGUCUUUA